UGGGGAAUUUUGGACAAUGGGCGAAAGCCUGAUCCAGCAAUGCCGCGUGCAGGAUAAAGGCCUUCGGGUUGUAAACUGCUUUUGUACGGAGCGAAAAGGUCUGCCCUAAUACGGUGGGCUCAUGACGGUACCGUAAGAAUAAGCACCGGCUAACUACGUGCCAGCAGCCGCGGUAAUACGUAGGGUGCGAGCGUUAAUCGGAAUUACUGGGCGUAAAGCGUGCGCAAGCGGUUAUAUAAGACAGAUGUGAAAUCCCCGGGCUCAACCUGGGACCUGCAUUUGUGACUGUAUAGCUAGAGUACGGUAGAGGGGGAUGGAAUUCCGCGUGUAGCAGUGAAAUGCGUAGAUAUGCGGAGGAACACCGGUGGCGAAGGCAAUCCCCUGGACCUGUACUGACGCUCAUGCACGAAAGCGUGGGGAGCAAACA
rnacentral:rRNA from 1 species